GACGAACGCUGGCGGCGUGCUUAACACAUGCAAGUCGAACGGAAAGGCCCUGCUUUUGUGGGGUGCUCGAGUGGCGAACGGGUGAGUAACACGUGAGUAACCUGCCCUUGACUUUGGGAUAACUUCAGGAAACCGGGGCUAAUACCGGAUAGGAGCUCCUGCUGCAUGGUGGGGGUUGGAAAGUUUCGGCGGUUGGGGAUGGACUCGCGGCUUAUCAGCUUGUUGGUGGGGUAGUGGCUUACCAAGGCUUUGACGGGUAGCCGGCCUGAGAGGGUGACCGGCCACAUUGGGACUGAGAUACGGCCCAGACUCCUACGGGAGGCAGCAGUGGGGAAUAUUGCACAAUGGGCGGAAGCCUGAUGCAGCAACGCCGCGUGCGGGAUGACGGCCUUCGGGUUGUAAACCGCUUACGCCUGUGACGAAGCGUGAGUGACGGUAAUGGGUAAAGAAGCACCGGCUAACUACGUG
rnacentral:rRNA from 1 species